AACGAACGCUGGCGGCAUGCCUAAUACAUGCAAGUCGAACGAGAUCUUCGGAUCUAGUGGCGCACGGGUGCGUAACGCGUGGGAAUCUACCCUUGGGUUCGGAAUAACAGUUAGAAAUGACUGCUAAUACCGGAUGAUGACGUAAGUCCAAAGAUUUAUCGCCCAAGGAUGAGCCCGCGUAGGAUUAGCUAGUUGGUGAGGUAAAGGCUCACCAAGGCUACGAUCCUUAGCUGGUCUGAGAGGAUGAUCAGCCACACUGGGACUGAGACACGGCCCAGACUCCUACGGGAGGCAGCAGUAGGGAAUAUUGGACAAUGGGCGAAAGCCUGAUCCAGCAAUGCCGCGUGAGCGAUGAAGGCCUUAGGGUUGUAAAGCUCUUUUACCCGGGAUGAUAAUGACAGUACCGGGAGAAUAAGCCCCGGCUAACUCCGUGCCAGCAGCCGCAGUAACAC
rnacentral:rRNA from 1 species